GACAUAGGGUGCAAACGUUGUUCGGAAUUACUGGGCGUAAAGCGCGUGUAGGCGGCCCUGCAAGUCGGAUGUGAAAUCCCACGGCUCAACCGUGGAAGUGCAUUCGAAACUGCAGGGCUAGAGUCCUGGAGAGGAAGGUGGAAUGCUUGGUGUAGAGGUGAAAUUCGUAGAUAUCAAGCGGAACACCGGUGGCGAAGGCAGCUCACUGGGACGGUAUUGACGCUGAGACGCGAAAGCGUGGGGAGCAAACAGG
rnacentral:rRNA from 1 species